AGACAGCAGUAGCCACGGGAAUACAGAGGGUGAGAGCGUUAAUCGGAUUUACUGGGCGUAAAGCGUGCGUAGGCGGCUUCUUAAGUCGGAUGUGAAAUCCCUGAGCUUAACUUAGGAAUUGCAUUCGAUACUGGGAAGCUAGAGUAUGGGAGAGGAUGGUAGAAUUCCAGGUGUAGCGGUGAAAUGCGUAGAGAUCUGGAGGAAUACCGAUGGCGAAGGCAGCCAUCUGGCCUAAUACUGACGAUGAGGUACGAAAGCAUGGGGAGCAAACAGGAUUAGAUACCCGCGUAGUCCCUGUCUCUUAUAC
rnacentral:rRNA from 1 species